AUUGAACGCUGGCGGAAUGCUUUACACAUGCAAGUCGAACGGUAGAGGGGGCAACCCCUUGAGAGUGGCGAACGGGUGAGUAAUAUAUCGGAACGUGCCCAGUCGUGGGGGAUAACGUAGCGAAAGUUACGCUAAUACCGCAUACGAUCUAAGGAUGAAAGCGGGGGAUCGCAAGACCUCGCGCGACUGGAGCGGCCGAUAUCAGAUUAGGUAGUUGGUAGGGUAAAGGCCUACCAAGCCAACGAUCUGUAGCUGGUCUGAGAGGACGACCAGCCACACUGGAACUGAGACACGGUCCAGACUCCUACGGGAGGCAGCUGUGGGGAAUUUUGGACAAUGGGCGAAAGCCUGAUCCAGCCAUUCCGCGUGCAGGAUGAAGGCCCUCGGGUUGUAAACUGCUUUUGUACAGAACGAAAAGGUUUCUAUUAAUACUAGGAGCUCAUGACGGUACUGUAAGAAUAAGCACCGGCUAACUACGUG
rnacentral:rRNA from 1 species